UCCGGUUUGUCACCGGCAGUCUCAUUAGAGUGCCCAACUAAAUGUAGCAACUAAUGACAAGGGUUGCGCUCGUUGCGGGACUUAACCCAACAUCUCACGACACGAGCUGACGACAGCCAUGCAGCACCUGUGUUCGCAUUCCCUUUCGGGCACAUUCCCAUCUCUGGAAGCUUUGCGACAUGUCAAGGGUAGGUAAGGUGGGGAUGACGUCUGCGUAACAGAA
rnacentral:misc_RNA from 1 species